AUUAAGAGCUUGCUCUUAUGAUUAGUGGCGCACGGGUGAGGUAAUAUAUAGGUAAUGGUACCUCUUAGCUUGGGAUAGCCACUGGAAACGGUGAUUAAUACCGGAUACUCCUUUUCAUUUUCAAGAUGAAUCGGGAAAGUUUUUCGCUUAAGAGAUCGGCCUAUAUCCUAUCAGCUAGUUGGUGAGGUAAUGGCUCACCAAGGCAAUGACAGGUAGCGGGUUUGAGAGGAUGGUCCGCCACACUGGUACUGAGACACGGACCAGACUCC
rnacentral:rRNA from 1 species